GACAAAGAGAAAAACAAUGAUAAAGUGAAGACAUACCCCAAGUUGUUGAUGAAAAACAGAAAAUUAGCCUAACUGGUAGCUACAUGACUAAAGGACUAUAAAUAUUACCCACCUUUUCCCUACCCCUCUCUCUCCCCCACUUUUCCUUCCCAUACCCUCUUCCCCUUCUUUUCCCCUCACCCCAACAAUGCCUGAAAACUGAAGACUUCUCUGCUCCCUUCAAGGAAACUUGUCCUCUCUGGAAGCCUGGCCAGCUCCUGAGUCAUAUAUUAUUAGGACUGAUCCUUAUGAAGUUGACUCCUGCUAACCUGACAUCCCAUGGAGGAGAGAAAAUAAAAAUUAGAGGAAUGGAUCAUUGCCAGCAGAUUUAUCAGCUUCCAAGCUAACCUGUCUGCAGCAACCUUGUUGAAGAUAUCCUUCAGACAAGCUGAAAAUGAACAGAAUACAGUAUUUCUUCAAGCAAAUACAAAAAAUCUAUUUUGAAACAUGACUGUUUCAGACAGACCAGUGAGCAAUACAUUUUCUAAGUUUUUUAAUACAAAAAAUAUAUUAGUCCACUAGAAAAAGACAUCCUGAAGAACCUAAAACGACUGGAAUUUAAAUUAAUAAUUGUAUGUCCCCCAACUGAUUAAAAUGGUAUUUUCCUGAGAAAGUCUGUUUUCUUGUAUAAAAAGCUUAAAGGUUAUUUAAAAUAAACGGGCAUUUUUACACGUGCUCUGGGACACUGCAUCCAACAUUUUAAUUAGUCAGCCAUGCUAAUUAAAAACUCACGCACAUCAUGUGUCAUCAUCCCCAUGUGCCCCUGCACUGAAAAAAUGGCGGCAGGCACUUUAAACUAAAGCUCAUGAUGUGUUUUAUUUCAGUGUCCCACCACCAUUUAUCCAGCACAGCGACAUGCGGGGAUGCUGAUGUGUGACGCAAAAGGCUACCAGAGCACAGCUAUUUCCAUGCUUCCCCAGACUCUAUUAUUUGGGUCUGCUCCAAAGCUCUGAAUUUCUAGCACAUCUGAGCAGGCUCCCUGCACGUUUAUAGGAGCCCAAUGUAUCUUGUGAUAAAAUGCUGAUGUGAAAACCACAACAUCAAAAGAUGUGUGUUGCAAUUCAUGAGGGGCAUCAAACUGAAAAACUGAAGUUGAUACUGUAAUAUUCAAAAUAAAUGCAUGUCACAUGUCUGAUCCCAACCCUAGUUUGUUAAAAAUAAUUUUUAAAAAUCUAAAAAAUUAGAAGGCAUUUUAACAUGCAGUUUCAUAUUUUUUCUCUAAAGCCAAAGAACUUCUUUUAGAGAAGUGCUAUUUUUGUGAUGACAUUUACUCUCUAUUACUUAGAAGUAAAAUGCAACCUGAGCAAUUUAUAUUAAAAACUUUAAUAAAACACCCACACAAUGACAAGAAUGAGACUUUAAUCAGUUUUAAGUGGAGUUUUAACACUAAGAGAUAAAGGGUUGUUAAACACAAUAACAAACGGACAUCUGAUUUGUAUGAGGCAUUAACCUGUACAUGUCAUAUUUGAUUUUUGUGUAUCCUCAGUGCAUAGCAUUACACACAGAGCCACUGUUGCACAGCACAAUAGUAUUUGAAGAGGCUGAAUCAGAGUAAGGCUGCUUAACAGACUGAUUUUUUUAGUAUAUAGAGUGUAUAUAUAGAGAGAGUGUAUAUAUGUGUAUAUAUGCACUCCAUAUGAAAACAGACUGAAAAUCUGAACUGGCAGAGUAAGAGGCAGCUCUGCCAAACAUUGCAGUUAAAGCCCCUUUUAGUGCACAGUUCCACCCCUUCCAUCUGCAUGCAUAACACUUUUUAACAGUAUUUAAAGGUAAACGAGGCACUUUGUGGCAACCACAGGCAUCGUUAACAUAUUGCACAAAUUUGCUAUAACUAAACAUGGAACUUGCACACUGGCACCCUAUUUUUUUUAAAGCUGAAACAUUUGAUGUUGAAUGUAAACUCCACCUCAGUUUACAACUUGUGCCACACCAAAGUAUUGUGAUGGUAUUUAUAGAACUGCCCUUUAGUAACUGUGGCAAAAAUAUUUCAAGUGGGGCUACAGAUGAUUUAGGGAUGGUACAGGGCCUAAGAGUAAGCUCUUAGAAAAGUGAUGCUUUCAAGUAAUUUAGACAUGUAAGCUGCUGCACGUCCAAGAAUUUAAGCAUACAGUCCAGAAACUCAAAGAGAUUACCUAUAGAAUGCAUCUCAAGCUAAGAAUGAAUACUGUCAUAAAUAAAGUUUUGAAUAAGGACUAAAAAACCUUUCAGUCAUAGUAAUUCUUGUCAAGUUCUAUAGGGAUGGUAAAUGAAAUAAAGUAUAAUGCCAUUUUUCCAUUUCCAAUGACUACACCAUAAAAUGUAAGCAAGGCAUCUCAAAAAACACUGAAACAUUCAAAAUCAAAACCCUCAUUCAGACCUUCACAUUCCAAAGGAAUAACAACAGUGCAAAAGCCCAUUGUGUCUUAUUUCCAAUCUGGCCCUUAGCGUUACAUACUGGAAUAAUACAAAUUAAAAUUUGAUAUUAUGAGCCCAAAAAAUGGGACAUAGGACAGUGUCAAUAUCCAAGUAUUGUAAAGCAUGAACAUUUUUGUUUAUUAGCCAACACAACUUUCAACUGUUAAAAAAAAACAACAGACAAGGUGAAAUAUGAAUCAAAGGAAAAAAAAGUUAAAUGUCAGGUCUCAAGUUAACCAUCUCCUGCUGGUCAAUUGCAUCAUGGAAAUUAUGAGUACUGGACCAGCAUUCAUGAUGUUAAAAUCUUAUCUAAUUAAACCUACAAGUCAGAAAAUAUUUCAUUAACUUUGUUAGAUGUUUAGAUUAUGAAUGUGAUGAGCAAUAUUAACCAACAGAUUAAAAAAAAAAAGAGCAUGUUACACCGUUGUUUACCAAUAUUAUUUAUAUGAAGUCCUGCCUCUUCUCGUUGCAAUUCAUGAUUAAUGCUGUUGUACGGGGGCCCUACAGAAUUCAGAUAGCUGCUAACUAGGUGAGAACAAAGUUUGCAUCAAUAGGGUAAUUAAAGUGGGAAGAAGAAAUGUAACUUUUGGAUUCGCUAUUCAGAAUGCUUCAAGGUCAUGGAGAAUUUUAUACUAACCAGAAUUUUAACAGUUACUUCACAUUUGUAUACAACAGUAGUUGUACUCUGUAAGUCACCUGCAGUCUGGGCACAUCAAUUACAAUAUUCAAACAUGAAGCUCGGUCCCUAAUACUGGCGCUCUCUCGCUCGCUCUUUCUCUCUCUCUCUCUCUCUCGCUCUCUUCAAACAAAUGAUACAACAUUGCCAGUUUAGAAAUCUAAUUCUUUUAAUAGCAAACAACAUGAGAUAGAAUAUUUGGGACAAAUUUUAUUUUUUAAAAAAAGUACACAUCCUUAUAUCUGUCCAGUGUUGAGAAUUUAUUGCAACACUGGCUUCCUUUAUACCAUGUGUAAUGUCUUUUUUUUUUUUUUUAAACAUUGUAGGUACUAAAUAUUCAAGUAAAAUUCCCUAACAGUUAACGACAUUAAAAAAAGUGUGCAAAACUGCAAAACUCAUUGUAAUAGAAUGUGGAAAGUGAAAGUGGGGGAAUGGCUGACAGAUGUUUGAUUGAAUAUAUGCAUCAUAAUCUUUAAAA